AGCAGCAUGGCGCAGUUGGAAGCGCGCGGGGCCCACAUGUAUCGCCGUGGCUCCAAAUACUUUACUCCGUGGUCACUUGAUCGAAACAAGUUGCUGCUA